GAUGAACGCUGGCGGCGUGCCUAAUACAUGCAAGUCGAGCGAACGGACGAGAAGCUUGCUUCUCUGAUGUUAGCGGCGGACGGGUGAGUAACACGUGGAUAACCUACCUAUAAGACUGGGAUAACUUCGGGAAACCGGAGCUAAUACCGGAUAAUAUUUUGAACCUCAUUGUUCAAAAGUGAAAGACGGUCUUGCUGUCACUUAUAGAUGGAUCCGCGCUGCAUAAGCUAGUUGGUAAGGUAACGGCUUACCAAGGCAACGAUGCAUAGCCGACCUGAGAGGGUAAGCGCCACCCCAGAAACGGGACAACGUCCCGAACCCUUAGGGGAGGCGGCGUAAGGAAUCUUUCGCAAAUGGGCAAAGGCUGGCGGAGGAACGGCGGCGUGGUGAAGAAGGUACUCGGAUUGUCAAAACCUUUUAUUAGGGAAGAACAUAUGUGUAAGUAACUGUGCACAUCUUGACGGUACCUAAUCAGAAAGCCACGGCUAAGUACGUG
rnacentral:rRNA from 1 species